GAGCUUCACUUCAGCAGCACAUAUACUAACAUUGGAACAAUACAGAGAAGAUUAACAUGGCCUUUGUGCAACUCUUAUUUUUAUCUAUACACGUUAGUUUCUC
rnacentral:snRNA from 1 species